rnacentral:rRNA from 1 species
AUUGAACGCUGGCGGCAUGCCUUACACAUGCAAGUCGAACGGCAGCGGGGGAGAAGCUUGCUUUUCCUGCCGGCGAGUGGCGAACGGGUGAGUAAUACAUCGGAACGUGCCCUGUAGUGGGGGAUAACUAGUCGAAAGAUUAGCUAAUACCGCAUACGACCUGAGGGUGAAAGUGGGGGACCGCAAGGCCUCAUGCUAUAGGAGCGGCCGAUGUCUGAUUAGCUAGUUGGUGGGGUAAAGGCCUACCAAGGCGACGAUCAGUAGCUGGUCUGAGAGGACGAUCGGCCACACUGGGACUGAGACACGGCCCAGACUCCUACGGGAGGCAGCAGUGGGGAAUUUUGGACAAUGGGCGAAAGCCUGAUCCAGCAAUGCCGCGUGUGUGAAGAAGGCCUUCGGGUUGUAAAGCACUUUUGUCCGGAAAGAAAUGGCUCUGGUUAAUACCUGGGGUCGAUGACGGUACUGGAAGAAUAAGGACCAGCUAACUACGUGCCAGCCGCCGCGUAA